rnacentral:rRNA from 1 species
GGACCCGCACAAGCAGCGGAGCAUGUGGUUUAAUUCGACGCAACGCGAAGAACCUUACCUGGGCUUGACAUGUUGGUGACAGGUGUGGAAACACAUCCUUCCUUCGGGACACCAUCACAGGUGGUGCA